AUGAUGGGGACACGUGUUGGGACCGGCCUCUGCUAAAGAGAGGAAGGAAUGGGCAACGGUAGGUCAGCAUGCCCCCGAAUUAUCCGGGCUACACGCGGGCUACAAUGGUCAGGACAAUGGGUAUCGACACCGAGAGGUGGAGGCAAUCUCCUAAACCUGUCCUUAGUUCGGAUUGUGGGCUGCAACUCGCCCACAUGAAGCUGGAAUCCGUAGUAAUCGCGUUUCAAAAAUAGCGCGGUGAAUAUGUCCCUGCUCCUU
rnacentral:rRNA from 1 species